AAAUUGAUUCGGCGGCUUCUUAGAUCGGUUGGAUACCGAGUGGGUCGAUGCCGCCAGUGGUGGCGUAAGAAUCACAGAAAACUCGAAAAGCUGAAGAACGUUCCCCAACUGCUAAAACCCUAGCACUCUAAAACCUCCUCUGUUUUGCAGAGGCCAACCAACAGACGAAGGCCAGAGGAGGUCGGGAUGAAGAACCUGCAACUUUCUUCAGAGAUCUCUUUCGAUGUAGAGUUGCAGUUGGAGGAGGAAGUUCUUCUUUUCUCUGCUUUCGACAUCGAGCGGAAUCGCUUGUUUUUCGUUUCAUCGACUGACGGGGUAUACAUCAGGCAGCUUCCUUUGUCUCGGAAGGAACAGAAGGAAAGGCUAUGGAACAAGAAUCUGUCACCCACGGAAAAUGACACUAUGGAUCUGGAACCUGGGGAUAGUAUUACUGCUUUGGAUUAUCUAAUGGAGAAAGAGGCUCUUCUAGUUGGAACUUCUAAUGGUUAUCUGAUGCUGCACACUGGGGAUGGGAGUGACACUGAAGUUGUUGGUCGGGUGGAGGGUGGUGUCAAAUGUGUUGCUCCUAGUCCAGAUGGAGCUCUGAUUGCUAUAGUAACUGGUUUUGGGCAGAUACUGGUUAUGACUCAUGAUUGGGAUUUGUUGUAUGAGACUAUGAUUGACGAUCACCCGGCAGAUGUUGACGUACGUGAUGCAACUGGUUCUACUAUUUAUCCAUUUGAAAAUUCCAUUUCCUGGCGAGGAGAUGGAAAAUACUUUGCCACUCUAAGCGAAUCGAAGGAUUCUUCUUCCUCACAAAAAAAGCUUAAGAUUUGGGAGCGGGAUUCUGGGGCAUUGCAUGCUGUUACAGAAUCAAAAGCUUUCAUGGAAGCAGCCUUGGACUGGAUGCCAAGUGGGGCAAAAGUGGCAACUUCCUUUGACAGAAAGGCUGAUAAUAAGGGCCCCUUGAUUGUUUUUUUUGAGAGAAAUGGGUUAGAAAGAAGCUCAUUUAGCAUCAAUGAGCUAAUGGAUGCAACAAUAGAAGUACUAAAGUGGAAUUGCAGCUCAGAUCUUCUUGGAGCUGUUGUCAGAUGUGAAAAGUAUGAUGCCAUCAAAAUCUGGUCUUUCAGCAAUAAUCAUUGGUACUUGAAACAGGAAAUAAGAUAUCCUAAGAGGGACAGGGUGAAAUUCAUGUGGGAUCCUAUGAAGCCAUUGCAUCUGAUCUCUUGGACUCGUGGUGGCAAGAUUACAACCUACAACUUUGUCUGGAUGACUGCUGUCAUGGAGAAUUCAAUCGCAUUGGUUAUUGACAACUCCAAUGUAUUAGUAACCCCUCUUGCUCUAUCACUUAUGCCACCUCCUAUGUAUUUAUUCAAACUCAAAUUUCCCACUGCAGUUUGUGACAUGGCUUUCUUUUCAAAAUCCUCCAAGAACCAGAUGGCAGCAUGUUUGUCGGAUGGUAGUUUGUGUAUUGUAGAGUUUCCUGCUUAUGACACUUGGGAAGAGUUGGAAGGGAAAGAAUUCUUUGUUGAAACUUCUUCUGAGAUGGCAUUUGGGUCAUUGAAGCAUCUUAUUUGGUUGGAUUCACGCAUUCUUCUUGGUGUUUCUUACAAUAGUGAUACUGAUACCUGUUUGUUGACAUCUUCCAGUAAGGAUGAAUCUUCUCAUUGUCAGGGAAACUACUUGAGUGGGUACUCUUUGCAGGAGAUUGAGAUUGUAUGCUCUGAGGAUUGUGUCCUGGGUUUAGUGGCUUCCUCAGGUUGGGGUGCAAAAGUCUCUUGUCAAUUCUCCUUAGAAGGACCAGUAAUUGGCAUUGUCCCAAACCCUGCUAAGAGAGGCUCGGCCUUUGUUCAGUUAGACGGAGGAAGAAUUGUUGAAUAUACUUCAAAAUUGGGCAUCACAGGGGUACCUGCAGACCAGAAGAAGCUUGAUUACGGUAUUGGGUUCUCUUCAUCCUGCUCUUCAAUGAGUAUAGCAUCUGUCUAUGACAAUGGAGUAUUGCAACCUUUGCCUUUUGGGCUUGAUGAUAAUGGCAGGCUACAUGUCAGUGGCCGGUUAUUAUGCAACAAUUGCAGUGGUUUCUCAUUUUACUCAAAUUCUGCCAAUCAAAUGAUCACACACUUGAUUCUCACAACCAAACAGGAUUUACUUUUCAUUGUUGACAUGGAUGACAUUUUGCAUGGAAAUCUAGAAGUAAAAUAUGAAAACUUCAUCAAAGUUAGCAACAGAAACAGAGAAGAAAACCGAGACUCUAUAAAUAUUUGGGAAAGAGGUGCCAAAUUGGUUGGUGUCCUCCAUGGAGAUGCAGCUGCUGUUUUAUUACAAACAACUCGUGGAAACCUAGAAUGCAUACAUCCAAGAAAAUUAGUCCUAGCAUCAAUUGUUAAUGCUCUGGUCCAAAGGCGUUUCAGAGAUGCACUUCUUAUGGUAAGGAGGCACCGGAUUGAUUUCAAUAUCAUUGUUGACCACUGUGGUUGGCAAAACUUUCUUCAGUGUGCUAAUGAGUUCGUCAAGCAGGUAAAGAAUUUGAGUUACAUAACUGAGUUUGUUUGUUCUGUAAAGAAUGAAAACGUUACAGAGAAGCUGUAUAGGAACAUUGUGACCCUUCCUUACCUGAAGGCCUCCAAAGAUAUUCAAGCAGAAAAUUUCGAUGGAUUUUAUGGAAAGAGCAAGAUCUCUUCUGUCCUGCAGGCAAUACGGGAGGCUUUAGAGGAUCAGGUACCGGCAAGUCCUGCAAAGGAGCUUUGCAUAUUGACCACAUUGGCUCGCAGUGAACCUCCACAUAUUGAGGAAGCCCUGAAGAGGAUAAAGAUGGUCCGCGAAAUGGAGCUACUGGUAGUUGAUGAUCCUCAGAGAAAAUCUUAUCCUUCUGCAGAAGAAGCUACAAAGCAUCUAUUGUGGUUAACAAAUUCUGAAGCUGUUUAUGAAGCUGCAUUAGGCCUUUAUGAUCUGAAUCUUGCAGCUAUUGUGGCAUUGAACUCUCAAAAGGAUCCAAAGGAGUUCCUUCCUUUUCUGCAGGGACUGGAGCGUAUGCCACCCCUAAUUAUGAAGUAUACAAUUGAUCUUAAACUACAGCGAUAUGAGAGUGCCCUUAAAAAUAUAGUCUCAGCAGGAGAUGCUUAUUAUGAAGAUAGCAUAAACCUCAUGAAAAAUAACCCUCAACUUUUUCCACUAGGAAUUCAACUGUUCACUGAUCCUUUCAAAAGGUCACAAAUCCUUGAAGCCUGGGGAGACCAUCUCCAUGGUGAUAAAUGCUUUGAAGAUGCUGCUACCUCUUAUUUGUGUUGUUCCUCUUUGGAGAAGGCUCUGAAGGCAUAUCGUGCUUGUGGUCAUUGGAAAGGGGUGCUUACAGUGGCUGGUUUCCUCAAAUUGGGAAAGGAAGAGGUUCUACGACUGGCAAAUGAACUCUGUGAGGAACUUCAAGCACUAGGGAAGCCAGCCGAAGCUGCUAAAAUUGCUCUUGAAUACUGUGAUGAUGUUGCCAGCGGAAUCCAGUUCCUUAUCAGUGCAAGGGAAUGGGAGGAGGCUUUGAGGAUUGGAUUUAUCCACAGGAGAGAGGAUUUGAUCUCGGAAGUGAAGUGUGCUGCUUUGGAAUGUGCGGGAAUACUGAUUUCUGAAUAUGAGGAAGGACUGGAGAAAGUGGGGAAAUACUUAGCGCGCUACUUAGCUGUUCGACAAAGAAGAUUACUCCUUGCAGCAAAGCUUCAGUCAGAGGACAGGUCAAUAGAUGAUGCUGAUGAUGAAACUGCUUCAGAUACUAGUAGUAAUUUCAGUGGAAUGAGUGCCUACACCACUGGGACAAGGAGGGGUUCUAGUGCUUCCACAAGCUCAACUACAGCUAGCAAGGCACGUCAAACAAGGCAUCAGAAGAAAAGAGGAAAAAUCCGUGCUGGAAGCCCUGGCGAGGAGAUUGCUUUGGUGGAGCAUUUAAAGGGCAUGUCCCUAACCACUGGUGCACAGCAUGAGCUUAAAUCCCUAUUGGUGGCCCUUGUGAUGCUUGGCAAUGAAGAAACUGCUAGGAAGGUGCAACGUAUGGGGGAUAGCUUUCAAUUAUCUCAACGAGCAGCUGUCAAACUGGCUGAAGAUACAGUCUCUAACAACAAUAUAGAUGAGAGAAAGCAUACAUUGGAGCAUUACGUUCAAAAAGUAAGAGGUGAACUGCCUCAUUUGGAAACUAUCUCGUGGCAGUCAAAAGUCCUGCUUUCUUCUUAACAGGUUUGUGGUUGAGAUGGAUAUACACAUGGAUUUGGUGUUUGCAGUCUGCAUUCGGCCCUGAGAAGCCUGCCAUGUUUUGGAGUCUUUUUGGUGUUCGGGGAAUUAGAAUGAGGAUCUCAGGAUGAAAGAGAAUCGUUGGAGGUUGCGAGGCUUGGGGGUUGAACUGCUUCACUAAAUUUUCUUGGGUAUUGCUCUAUGAAUUGAUGUCUCUCUUUAUCAGUGGUAUUGCUGCAUCUGGGAAGCCUACUGUUGAAGAGUUUAAAAAAGCAGUGGUUCUCUGUGGAGUUUGUGAUUGCAAGCAUUAUAGAAGGUUCUUCCCUUCUCACCUGGAGAAUAUUGAAACAGUUAUCCGUGCUUUAGUUAAUUUUAAUGAAAGUGGAGCUAGCCAUGUUACAAGUUCAA